rnacentral:rRNA from 1 species
CCCUUAGAUGUUCUGGGCCGCGCGCGCGCUACACUGACGAAGUCAGCGAGCAUGUCCUACGCCGACAGGUGCGGGGAAUCUUGUCAAACUUCGUCGUGAUGGGGAUUGAUUAUUGAAAUUCUUGAUCAUCAACGAGGAAUUCCUAGUAAGCGCAAGUCAGCAGCUUGCGUUGAUUACGUCCCUGCCCUUUGUACACACCGCCCGUCGCUACUACCGAUUGAAUGGUUUAGUGAGAUCUUCGGAUUGGCGCCACUGCGGCUCAGCAAUGGGCUCGGUGGAUGCCGAAAAGUUGAUCAAACUUGAUCAUUUAGAGGAAGUAAAAGUCGUAACA